rnacentral:piRNA from 1 species
UACAGUAGAGAUAAUCUUGUCAGUGAUGAGC